UGCAGCCACCUGCUCGGCUGCUUUGGUGUGCUCAGCACCGCUACAUUACAUGCCAUUAUGUUUGGGGCACAGGGAGAAAGGGCGGGGCGUGUUGAGGGCAGGGCAGCGCGGGGCAGAGCAGGGCAGGGCAGGGCAUGCGAUGGGACAGUGGUAAGGCACCUAAUCUAAGAGCAGGGUAGGUCACGGCGGGGCAGCGCGGGGUGGUGCAGGGCAGGGCGGGGCAGGGCAGGGCACGGCGGGGCAGCGCAGGGCAGGGCGGGGCCAAAUUAGGGGGGCGGGGCGGGGCGGGGCGAAGCAGGGGUUUUGCCAAACACCAAAACGAACCUAUGCAUUUGUGGGCCCCUGGAUGUGCGGUGGGACAGUGUUAAGGCAGGUUGGUGAAGACCACAGCAGAAGGGCAGAAGGGCAGGGCGGGGCAGGGUGGACCGAACUCGGCAGGGCGGGCCAAAGUACGGGGGCGGGGCAGGGAAGGGUGGAGCGGAGCAGGGCGGGGCAGGUCCAAGUAGGUGGCGAGGCGGGUUGGGCAGGGUGGGGCGGGGGACGACAUGGGAUCAGCACACGAGCAGCGUCCUGAGCCCUGAUGCUGCAGGAUAGGCCGACCGGCGCCCCCGCAGGGCAGGGCAGGGCGGGACAGGGCGGGGUAAAGUAUGGGGGCAGGGCAGGG
rnacentral:lncRNA from 1 species